GUUUAAAGCAUUUAAUGAAAUUAUAACCUUUGGAACUUGGUGGUUCACUUCUGAAAUCUAUGGCAAUGUUUUGACAGAUUUCAGAUGAAACAAAAUCUGCAUUCCCAGGUCACACACAAGGACUGUAUGCCAUGCACUCCUAUGACAGCUUGAGUUCACCCUGGAGAGGGGAGGGUUAGAAACCAAAUCCUUAACAAGCCUGCCCUGCAAGACUCAAGACUGUGCAUUAGGAAUGACCUGGUCCCUGCCCACCUCUCCAAAUGGCCUUACCCCAAGUUCAUUCCCUUUGCUCUCUGGAGCUCUGCCAACACAGGCUACUCAGGCCUACUUUCAAUUCCUUUAACACUCACUUCCUCCAGAGGCCUUUGCCCAAGAGUUCCUGCUCCCUGGAAUGUUCUCCUUCCCCAGGCCCCACAACCACUGCCUAGUUUCCUCCUGCUCGGCUUAAUCACACUUCCUUAGGAAAGCCUGGCCGCCCUGACAGGUCAGUUCUGUCUAUUACACACUCUAGUAGUUACGUGUACUUCUCCUAGGGGCUCUUAUCUGAGUUGUAAUUUUUCAUUUAGUUGUAUGUAGGACACAUUACCUGGAGAAUAGUAGGUGCUCAAUAAAUAUUUGUUCACUGCAUGGAAGGGAGGGAGCAAGGGCACUUCAGCCAGACUGGCCUCCUCAUUGUGGUUAACAUCAAGGUGUGCCAGGAGAGCAAUUUCCAACAGCUUAACAUUCACUUGAUUGCUGCCAAGGCCCAUGGGUCUUUCCUUUCCUUUCUAGAAAAGAGUAAAAUCUACUCGAUGAACAUUCAGCAGCAUGGUGUGAAGCUAUUAUGGCCACAUUCUGGAAAUCAUUGCAUUCUUCCAAGCAAAGAAAUAAGAAAAUCUUCCCAAACAAAUGUCAGAAACUUUACCACACUGUCAUACAUGCUGCCUGUAACAUUUGUCUUUUGUUAAUUUUUUUUUUCUGGCUUUCAUCUCAAGUGUCUCUCAAGUUUUGGCAAUUUCAAGUCUUCUAGUUUCCAUGGAAAUAGGAAACAAUGAUCUCUGGGAGAUUAAGAGCGGGGAGAUAUCCACUCUAAUGGAGUUCUAGAGUUUUCUUCCUUUGAUAGUAUUUGUGAAUUGAGAGAAUGUUGGUGUGGAGGCAGGGCUUCGGUGUCAUCAACAAAUCUUUAUUUUUGUGCCUAUAAUGCAUCAGGCAUUGUUCUCUUCCAGGAAUGCCUCCACCUCCAAACUGCUACAUUAAAGAAAGUUUGCAAGUUCCCUGAAGGACAGAUACGGAAGAUUAUAAAACCAGCUUCUAGUUUGUCUCCAUGUGGAAGUUCAGCCUUCUGGCCUCUCCCGCACCUCUUCAGUAUCUAUCCUCCUACCGAGCACCCAUCUGAUGGAUCUCUCCCCACUGCAACCCACCCUCCUCUCCAGGACCACUUUUUCUUGCCUGUAAUUCUGGCCUUAGGAAUGCCCAGAGGAGAUCUGUACCCAAAAAGUAUGUUUGAGCAAAGCUAAGUCUCCAGAAUAAAGAUAAUCCCAAUUUACA
rnacentral:lncRNA from 1 species